rnacentral:rRNA from 1 species
AGUGAACGCUGGCGGUAGGCCUAACACAUGCAAGUCGAACGGCAGCACAGUAAGAGCUUGCUCUUACGGGUGGCGAGUGGCGGACGGGUGAGGAAUACAUCGGAAUCUACUUUUUCGUGGGGGAUAACGUAGGGAAACUUACGCUAAUACCGCAUACGACCUACGGGUGAAAGCAGGGGAUCUUCGGACCUUGCGCGAUUGAAUGAGCCGAUGCCGGAUUAGCUAGUUGGCGGGGUAAAGGCCCACCAAGGCGACGAUCCGUAGCUGGUCUGAGAGGAUGAUCAGCCACACUGGAACUGAGACACGGUCCAGACUCCUACGGGAGGCAGCAGUGGGGAAUAUUGGACAAUGGGCGCAAGCCUGAUCCAGCCAUACCGCGUGGGUGAAGAAGGCCUUCGGGUUGUAAAGCCCUUUUGUUGGGAAAGAAAAGCAGCAGGUUAAUACCCCGCUGUCCUGACGGUACCCAAAGAAUAAGCACCGGCUAACUUCGUG